GACGAACGCUGGCGGCGUGCUUAACACAUGCAAGUCGAACGGUGAAGGGACUGGUUUUGCUGGUCCUGGAUGAGUGGCGAACGGGUGAGUAACACGUGAGUAACCUGCCCCCUUCUUCUGGAUAACCGCAUGAAAGUGUGGCUAAUACGGGAUAUUCUGGGUCUGUCGCAUGGUGGGCCUGGGAAAGAUUGCGCCUUUUUUGGUGUUUUUGGUGGGGGAUGGGCUCGCGGCCUAUCAGCUUGUUGGUGGGGUGAUGGCCUACCAAGGCGGUGACGGGUAGCCGGCCUGAGAGGGUGGACGGUCACACGGGGACUGAGACACGGCCCAGACUCCUACGGGAGGCAGGAGUGGGGAAUAGUGCACAAUGGGCGCAAGCCUGAUGCAGCGACGCCGCGUGAGGGAUGGAGGCCUUCGGGUUGUGAACCUCUUUCGCCAGUGAAGCAGGCCUGCCUCUUUUUGUGGGUGGGUUGACGGUAGCUGGAUAAGAAGCGCCGGCUAACUACGUG
rnacentral:rRNA from 1 species